UACGGAGGGUGCAAGCGUUGUCCGGAUUUAUUGGGUUUAAAGGGUGCGUAGGUGGGAAUGUAAGUCAGUGGUGAAAUCUCUGAGCUUAACUCAGAAACUGCCAUUGAUACUAUGUUUCUUGAAUUUUCUGGAGGUCAGCGGAAUAUGUCAUGUAGCGGUGAAAUGCUUAGAUAUGUCACAGAACACCAAUUGCGAAGGCAGCUUACUAAAGUAUGAUUGACGCUGAGGCACGAAAGCGUGGGGAUCAAACAGGA
rnacentral:rRNA from 1 species